UAAUAUAUUCUACGCGUCGCGCGUUAAGAACUUAAGAUGAUUACAUCUAUCUCCAUCAUAUUCUGUUUCCUUAUUAUCCGGUCAUCCCAAAUUGAUCAUUUUGUUCGUAAAUCUAACUUUGUGAUCAAUAACGCUUUUCGUUAAGACAGAAAACCACCAAAAAAGCAUUAAAUUUAACAAAUCACUUUAUCUACUUUCCCCUAUCUCACAACAAAAUUCAUUAUAUUAAUUUAUACCUCCUGAAAACAUAAACAAUUCACAUAUACAGUGAUAUACAUGCCCUAAUUGAAAACCACACCUCCAUAAAACCUAAUAACACAACAUUUAGCUCUAACCACAACAUAACUCCACAAUACUCUUCACACAUUGUCCAAUCCAUAUCAAAAUCAUCAACAUCAACACCUAUAUGAUUCCAGAAACAUCACAGCUUCAAACAUAACAAAAAAAAAAA
rnacentral:lncRNA from 1 species